rnacentral:rRNA from 1 species
UGGGGAAUAUUGGACAAUGGGCGAAAGCCUGAUCCAGCCAUGCCGCGUGUGUGAAGAAGGUCUUCGGAUUGUAAAGCACUUUAAGUUGGGAGGAAGGGCAGUAAGCGAAUACCUUGCUGUUUUGACGUUACCGACAGAAUAAGCACCGGCUAACUCUGUGCCAGCAGCCGCGGUAAUACAGAGGGUGCAAGCGUUAAUCGGAAUUACUGGGCGUAAAGCGCGCGUAGGUGGUUCGUUAAGUUGAAUGUGAAAGCCCCGGGCUCAACCUGGGUACUGCAUCCGAAACUGUCGAGCUAGAGUAGGGCAGAGCGUUGUGGAAUUUCCUGUCUAGCGGUGAAAUGCGUAUCUAUAGGAAGGAACACCAGUGGCGAAGGCGACCACCUUGGCUCAUACUGACACUGAGGUGCGAAAGCGUCGGGAGCAAACAGG